rnacentral:tRNA from 1 species
GCCCUGGUGGUGUAGUGGCUAUCAUUCCGGCCUGUCGAGCCGGUGACCCGGGUUCAAUUCCCGGCCAGGGCG